rnacentral:rRNA from 1 species
UACGUAGGGUGCGAGCGUUAAUCGGAAUUACUGGGCGUAAAGCGUGCGCAGGCGGUUCGCUGUGUCCGAUGUGAAAGCCCCGGGCUUAACCUGGGAAUGGCAUUGGAAACUGGCGGGCUUGAGUGCGGCAGAGGGGGGUGGAAUUCCUAGUGUAGAGGUGAAAUUCGUAGAUAUUAGGAGGAAUACCGGUGGCGAAGGCGGCCUUCUGGACCAUUUCUGACGCUGAGACGCGAAAGCGUGGGGAGCAAACAGG